rnacentral:rRNA from 1 species
GAUGAACGCUGGCGGCGUGCUUAACACAUGCAAGUCGAACGGAAAGGCCCAAGCUUGCUUGGGUGCUCGAGUGGCGAACGGGUGAGUAACACGUGGGUGAUCUGCCCUGCACUUUGGGAUAAGCCUGGGAAACUGGGUCUAAUACCGGAUAGGACCAUCGUUUAGUGUCGGUGGUGGAAAGUUUUUCGGUGUGGGAUGAGCUCGCGGCCUAUCAGCUUGUUGGUGGGGUAAUGGCCUACCAAGGCGUCGACGGGUAGCCGGCCUGCGAGGGUGUACGGCCACAUUGGGACUGAGAUACGGCCCAGACUCCUACGGGGGGCAGCAGUGGGGAAUAUUGCACAAUGGGCGCAAGCCUGAUGCAGCGACGCCGCGUGGGGGAUGACGGCCUUCGGGUUGUAAACUCCUUUCGCCAAGGACGAAGCGUUUUGUGACGGUACUUGGAGAAGAAGCACCGGCUAACUACGUG